rnacentral:lncRNA from 1 species
GAUAUUGCGGGUAAAAAAAAUCAAUCCAAAGCUUCCUGGUAGAAAUGAAUAUUUCAGAGCAAUGAUUUUGCAAUAACAAGUUGGCAUAAACUGCAAAUAACCUUUUCUGUGGGGCCAAAAUAUUAACUAUGCUUCAGGAAGACAGGCUUUGGUGCCUCAAACAAGAUCAGACCUCAUGUACCCAAUACAGCUAUCAUUCCAGCUAAAGAUGGGAUGCAGGUUGAUAUGGUCUGGCUCUGUGUCCGCACACAAAUCUCAUAUUGAAUUGUACUCCCAUAAUUCCCACGUGUUGUGCAAGGGACCUGGUAGGAGAUAACUGAAUCACGGUGGCGGUUCCCCCCACCAUACUGCUCUCGUGGUAGUAAGUCUCAAGAGAUCUGAUGGUUUUAUCAGGGGUUUCUGAUUUUGCAUCUUCCUCAUUCUCUCUUCGCCUGCUGCCAUCCAUGGAAGAUGGGACUUGCUCCUCCUUGCCUUCCGCGAUGAUUGUGAGGCUUCCCCAGCCGCAUGGAACUGUAAGUCCAAUUAAGCCUCUUUCUUUUGUAAGUUGCCCCGUCUUAGGUAUGUCUUUACCAGCAGCAUGAAAACGGACUAAUACACAAGUUAUGUAUUUACCACCAAAUUCUCAUCUAUUUGGGGUCAAGGGCCAUGCCUCCUAUCUGCUUAUACCUCCAGGUCAGAGCCCGCACUUGGCCAAAUGUAUACACACUGAAUGAAUGAUCCGUGGUAUUCAACACCUUGAAGUUAUAUAUCCAUAAAAAUAAUCUUAAACUCAAGUACACAUUGCAGUUUAAAAUUUUCAGAACAAUUUCUGAGAUCAAAACAAUUAUCAUGGAUACAGAUUCUCUACUUUGAUACAUUAAAACUAUCAUCCCAAAUCCACUUAUCUCAAUCUUUUCUUAAUGAAAUAAAAGGGAUCUAAAAGCCAGAAGAGUCAACAGAAUAUUCAGUUCCAAAGUAUCACCCCAUAUAGGACUGUUAAUUAAGAGAGGGUUCAGGUACCCCUACAAUGGAGAGAUCUGACAGACACCAUCUUCACGAAAGGAUCAAACUUGUCAACAAAGGUACAAACUGACAUCUCUUAAGGUGAUCCACAGAUAAGUGUACAUCACCUAUGCAGGUGGCAUUCUGAACAAAAAAUCUGAGUCUAAUAAUGAAGAAAAUCAGAGGAAGCUAGAUUUUAAACAUUCUAUGAAACAGUUGGCAUGGGCCAGGCAUGGUGGCUCACGCCUGUAAUCCCAACACUUUGAAAGGCCGAGGUGGGUGGAUCACUUGAGAUCAGGAGUUCCAGACCAGCCUAGCCAACAUGGUGAAACCCUGUCUCUACUAAAAAAAAAAAAAAAAAAAAAAUUAGCUGGGCAUGGUGUACAUGCCUGUAAUCCCAGCUACUCGGGAGGCUGAGGCAGGAGAAUGGUGUGAACCUGGGAGGUGGAGCUUGCAGUGAGCCGAGAUCGAGCCACUGCACUCCAGCCUGGGCGAUGGAGUGAGACUCCGUCUCAAAAAAAAAAAAAAAAAAAAA